rnacentral:rRNA from 1 species
ACGCAUGCAAGUCGAGGGGCAUCAGUUUGGUUUGCUUGCAAACCAAAGCUGGCGACCGGCGCACGGGUGAGUAACACGUAUCCAACCUGCCUCAUACUCGGGGAUAGCCUUUCGAAAGAAAGAUUAAUAUCCGAUAGCAUAUAUUUCCCGCAUGGGUUUUAUAUUAAAGAAAUUCGGUAUGAGAUGGGGAUGCGUUCCAUUAGUUUGUUGGCGGGGUAACGGCCCACCAAGACUACGAUGGAUAGGGGUACUGAGAGGAAGGUCCCCCACAUUGGAACUGAGACACGGUCCAAACUCCUACGGGAGGCAGCAGUGAGGAAUAUUGGUCAAUGGACGCGAGUCUGAACCAGCCAAGUAGCGUGAAGGAUGACUGCCCUAUGGGUUGUAAACUUCUUUUAUAUGGGAAUAAAGUGGUCCACGUGUGGAUUUUUGUAUGUACCAUAUGAAUAAGGAUCGGCUAACUCCGUGCCAGCAGCCGCGGUAAUACGGAGGAUCCGAGCGUUAUCCGGAUUUAUUGGGUU